CUUCCUCAGUUGCAUGGAGUGAAACUCUUCCAAAUUUCUAUUACUACUACUGCUUAUCUUUGAUAUAUGAUGAUUUGCAGAUGGAAUUCACUUGUGUUGUGUUCCCCUGCCUUGUGUUAGCUUACAUGGGCCAAGCAACGUACCAGAAGGACUUUUCUGGCCAGUCUUUGUGAUUGUUACACUCGCUGCUGUUAUUGCCAGUCAGGCAUCAUAUCUGCUACCUUUUCAGUCACGAAGCAAGCCAUGGCCCUGUCAUGUUUCUCGAGGCUGAAGAUAAUUCACACCUCGAAGAUAUUUUGCUCUUGAGGCUGACUUGAAUGAUGAACUGGAUAUUGAUAGUGUCUCAGUGAGAUCAAGGGAUGCAGAAGCUACUGAUGAUGUUGGAGAUGAGCUGCGAACUCCAUUGAUGCAUGAUCAACGAUUAGGAGAACCAAAAGCACUGAAAUCAGGAGAACAUGGAGAGUGUAUUGUGGUCAGAGGAUGAUCCUAGCUGGCUAUGCUAAAUUAUUUAAACAAUCAAACACAAGACGAUGGAGAUUGAAGACGACAGUCAAGUUUGAAUUGUAUAUAUUAUUUAAUUAUUUUAGAAUUUUAGUUUUAGUAGCUAGCAUUAGAUUAUAGAAAUUUUAUUUUAAGACAUUAUUAGAAGAAAUUGAUAUUUUGAAUAAAAUUGAUUUUGUAUAUAAAUUAAAUGUAGCAAAUAUUUUUUUGAUAUGAUGAAUAAAGCGAGCAAGAAUUUAUAUUUAAUAAUAUUGUUGUGGCUAUUGAUAAAUUGUUAUACAAACCUGACAAAAAAAAAAAAUAAAAAAUAAA